rnacentral:lncRNA from 1 species
ACUUAGGCAGCAACCAUUUGAUUUUCUGGGGGGGGCUAUGGUUUUUUUUUCUGUACAAACUUUUUUUUUCGCCUGCGGCGAAAAACAAUAUAUUUUUUUCGCGACAAGUCGAAAACAAUUUUUUUCUUUCAAUUUUAGCAUUACAUAUAGUGGCAGCUGAGGGUGAAACAAACAAUUUUUUUUUCUCAGAAUCAAAAACAAAUUAUUUUUUUCUCCAAAAACUGGAAACAAACUUUUUUUUCCCAAAAAAACCAUAGCCCCCCC